ACUGGGCGGCGUGCUAUACUGCAAGUCGAGCGAACGGAUAAGGAGCUUGCUCCUUUGAAGUUAGCGGCGGACGGGUGAGUAACACGUGGGUAACCUACCUAUAAGACUGGAAUAACUUCGGGAAACCGGAGCUAAUGCCGGAUAACAUAUAGAACCGCAUGGUUCUAUAGUGAAAGAUGGUUUUGCUAUCACUUAUAGAUGGACCCGCGCCGUAUUAGCUAGUUGGUAAGGUAAUGGCUUACCAAGGCGACGAUACGUAGCCGACCUGAGAGGGUGAUCGGCCACACUGGAACUGAGACACGGUCCAGACUCCUACGGGAGGCAGCAGUAGGGAAUCUUCCGCAAUGGGCGAAAGCCUGACGGAGCAACGCCGCGUGAGUGAUGAAGGUUUUCGGAUCGUAAAACUCUGUUAUUAGGGAAGAACAAAUGCGUAAGUAACUGUGCGCAUCUUGACGGUACCUAAUCAGAAAGCCACGGCUAACUACGUGCCAGCAGCCGCGGUAAUACGUAGGUGGCAAGCGUUAUCCGGAAUUAUUGGGCGUAAAGCGCGCGUAGGCGGUUUCUUAAGUCUGAUGUGAAAGCCCACGGCUCAACCGUGGAGGGUCAUUGGAAACUGGGAAACUUGAGUGCAGAAGAGGAAAGUGGAAUUCCAUGUGUAGCGGUGAAAUGCGCAGAGAUAUGGAGGAACACCAGUGGCGAAGGCGACUUUCUGGUCUGUAACUGACGCUGAUGUGCGAAAGCGUGGGGAUCAAACAGGAUUAGAUACCCUGGUAGUCCACGCCGUAAACGAUGAGUGCUAAGUGUUAGGGGGUUUCCGCCCUUAGUGCUGCAGCUAACGCAUUAAGCACUCCGCCUGGGGAGUACGA
rnacentral:rRNA from 1 species